AACGAACGCUGGCGGCGUGCCUAACACAUGCAAGUCGAACGUGAUUGGAGAGCUUGCUCUCCAUGAAAGUGGCGCACGGGUGAGUAACGCGUAGAUAAUCUGCCUGAUGAUCGGGGAUAACACUUCGAAAGGGGUGCUAAUACCGGAUAAGCCCACGGUGUGUUUGGACGCUGCGGGAAAAGGGGGGACCUUAGGGCCUUCUGUCAUCAGAUGAGUCUGCGUACCAUAAGCUAGUUGGUAGGGUAAAGGCCUACCAAGGCGACGAUGGUUAGCUGGUCUGAGAGGAUGAUCAGCCACACUGGAACUGAGACACGGUCCAGACUCCGACGGGAGGCAGCAGUGGGGAAUUUUGCGCAAUGGGGGAAACCCUGACGCAGCAACGCCGCGUGAGUGAUGAAGGCUCUUGGGUCGUAAAGCUCUGACAGAGGGAAAGAAAUGUGGGUGGCUAAUAUCCAUACCACUUGACGGUACCCUCAAAGGAAGCACCGGCUAACUCCGUGCCAGCCGCCGCCGUAAAAC
rnacentral:rRNA from 1 species